AAGUGGAGUAGAAAAAGGUACUUUCCCAUCCAACAUGCACCAGAUGGAAUCCAAAGCCAACUGUGAGGUCAACAUGGCAUCAGAACUCCCAGCCUACAAGUUUAUACCUACAGUUCCCAAGGACAGGAAGCAAAUAAUCUUCAUCUCUGUUAUCCUGGUGCUUCUGACCAUAGUCAUUACUGGAGCAAUUCUUAUUGGAAUUAACACAUCUCAAGAACACACUGAAAAGAUCAUUAGAACCCUUAGCAAUGGAGCCCACGGUGAAGUGGUAGAGCAAACGGUGAUGGUGAAUCAGCAGGACAGUGUGGCUGCUUUUCACAUCCAAAGCAAUAAAACAUCAGCUACGGUUGUCUAUGACUAUUAUCAUGUAAGUUUCAGAGAUACCCAAGGUGGGCACCAACAUGCAGAAAA
rnacentral:lncRNA from 1 species